CUACGGGACGCACCAGUCGGGAAUAUUGCGCAAUGGAGGAAACUCUGACGCAGUGACGCCGCGUAUAGGAAGAAGGUUUUCGGAUUGUAAACUAUUGUCGUUAGGGAAGAUAAAAGACAGUACCUAAGGAGGAAGCUCCGGCUAACUACGUGCCAGCAGCCGCGGUAAUACGUAGGGAGCAAGCGUUAUCCGGAUUUAUUGGGUGUAAAGGGUGCGUAGACGGGACAGCAAGUUAGUUGUGAAAUCCCUCGGCUUAACUGAGGAACUGCAACUAAAACUACUAUUCUUGAGUGCAGGAGAGGAAAGUGGAAUUCCUAGUGUAGCGGUGAAAUGCGUAGAUAUUAGGAGGAACACCAGUGGCGAAGGCGACUUUCUGGACUGUAACUGACGUUGAAGCACGAAAGUGUGGGGAGCAAACAGGAUUAGAUACCCCAGUAGUC
rnacentral:rRNA from 1 species